AAGAUCAAGAUCAUCGCCACCAUCAACAUUAUCAGCCAAGACCAUGCUGUAUGAAGUUUCACCAAUAUCUACAACAUCAGCACAUGAUGUUGGUCCGUCUAUGAGAUACAAAUAACCAUCAAAUGACAUUGUGACAAUUGUAAGCCCUUUUUUCUUCUCCCCACGUUUGCUCAAGUCGACGAGAAGUGCUCGAUUCAUCACCCUACCAUGAGUCCUAUAAGGAUAUGGACGUACAAAUGAGCCGUCCUUGCCAUUCAGAACAUAUAUAUUCCCAGAAAGUGUUGGGACAACGACAUCCGUAUGGCCAUCUCCAUCCACAUCGCCAAUGACCGGUCCCUGAGGAACAAGGCUCUUGAGAUGCGUUUCCCAAAUUUCUGUACCUUGUGCAGUCCAAGCAGCAACAUUUCCAUGUGAAUCUGUUGUAACUAGUUCAAUCUUUCCAUCAUCAUUGAUAUCAGCUGCAACUACUGCUCCUUGGAUUUCAGCCAUUUCAAGAGGAAACUUUUCCCUGACUUUGCCGUUGUGAUCCAACACAUAAAACAAGCCAUAGGAGGUCCCAACUAGAAUGUCCAUGUUUCCAUCACCAUCCAAAUCAACUACCGUAGGAGAAGAGUAUAUAUAGGCACGGAAUGUCCCGUCGUCAGUACUUAAGUCCAACUGUGCAGACCAUUUGACUUGCUUGGUAUCUAGAUUGAAAACAACAAUACCACCAGCAACAUAUUUUCCUAUUUCAAUGUCUCCAAGUUCCUUUAUAUGCUCCUGAUUGUUGUAGUACUCAUGGUCAAAG
rnacentral:misc_RNA from 1 species